rnacentral:rRNA from 1 species
GACAGAGGGUGCAAACGUUGCUCGGAAUUACUGGGCGUAAAGCGCGUGUAGGCGGUUUCGCAAGUCAGGUGUGAAAGCCUAGGGCUCAACCUUGGAAGUGCACAUGAUACUACGGAGCUUGAGUACUGAAGAGGAGAGCGGAAUUCCCGGUGUAGAGGUGAAAUUCGUAGAUAUCGGGAGGAACACCAGUGGCGAAGGCGGCUCUCUGGGCAGAUACUGACGCUGAGACGCGAAAGCGUGGGUGGCAAACAGG